rnacentral:rRNA from 1 species
GACGAACGCUGGCGGCGCGCCUAAUACAUGCAAGUCGAGCGAGAAGACGUAGCAAUACGUUUGUAAAGCGGCGAACGGGUGAGGAAUACAUGGGUAACCUACCCUCGAGUGGGGAAUAACUAGCCGAAAGGUUAGCUAAUACCGCGUACGCUCCUUGGACUUCGGUUCAGGGAGGAAAGCGAUACCGUGGGUAUCGCGCUCUUGGAUGGGCUCAUGUCCUAUCAGCUUGUUGGUGAGGUAACGGCUCACCAAGGCUUCGACGGGUAGCUGGUCUGAGAGGACGAUCAGCCACACUGGCACUGCGACACGGGCCAGACUCCUACGGGAGGCAGCAGUAAGGAAUAUUGCGCAAUGGGCGAAAGCCUGACGCAGCGACGCCGCGUGGGGGAUGAAGGUCUUCGGAUUGUAAACCCCUUUCGGGAGGGAAGAUGGAACGAGCAAUCGUUCGGACGGUACCUCCAGAAGCAGCCACGGCUAACUUCGUGCCAGCAGCCGCCGUAAAAC